CGUAACAAGGUUUCCGUAGGUGAACCUGCGGAAGGAUCAUUAAAAAAUUGGACUCCAUUGGUGAGUUCAUUAAUAAUCCCUACCCUUUGUGAAUUUGUUUGUUUGAAUAAUUUUUUUUCCAAAAAAAAAUUAUUGAAUGUCUUUCCCUGUUUUGGUGGAGCUUGUAAAGUGAAACCAGGCAGGGGAAUGGCAAACAAUAAUUAUUUUUGAAAAAAGACCUUUUUUUAAAAUUAAACUUUUUGUAUUCAUUUGUCUAAAAUUAUUUUUAUAAUAUAAAAACAACUUUUGACAAUGGAUCUCUUGGUUCUCGCAACGAUGAAGAACGCAGCAAAAUGCGAUAAGUAGUGUGAAUUGCAGAAUACGUGAAUCAUCGAAUCUUCGAACGCAUAUUGCACUUUUUUAGUUUACUAAAAAAAGUAUGUCUGUUUGAGUAUCAGUAAAAUAUUCUCAUAAAAAACAUUGUUUUUUUAUGGUUAUGAGUGUUUUACAACGAUAACAAGUUGUUUCACUUUAAAUUCUUUGUUAUCAAAAAAAUCAUUAAAAGCUAAUUUUAAAGAUUUUUUAAAAUUGGAUAAAAUUUUCCCGUAAAAAGGAAUAACCUAAACAAUUUUAAAAAAUUAAAAUUGGUUUGAUUUUUUUGAAACCCAAAGGAAAAAAAAACGAAAUUAACUUGAUCUCAAAUCAGAUAAGAGUACCCGCUGAACUUAAGCAUAUCAAUAAGCGGAGGAAAAGAAACUAACUAGGAUUCCCUCAGUAACGGCGAGUGAAGCGGGAAGAGCUCAAAUUUGAAAUCUUCAAGGUUUACCUUGACGAAUUGUAGUUUAAAGAAGUGUUUUCUGUUGGAGUUUUGGUAAAAGUUCUUUGGAAAAGGACAUCAUAGAGGGUGAGAAUCCCGUAUUUGACCAUUAUCUCCAGCUUUGUGAUACACUUUCAAAGAGUCGGAUUGUUUGGGAAUGCAGUCCAAAAUGGGUGGUAAAUUUCAUCUAAAGCUAAAUACUGGCGAGAGACCGAUAGCGAACAAGUACCGUGAGGGAAAGAUGAAAAGAACUUUGAAAAGAGAGUUAAACAGUACGUGAAAUUGUCAAAAGGGAAGCGUUUGACACCAGUGUUGUUUUCUCGAAAAUCAAUUAAAAAAGGCCGGAUUUUGUGUUGUAUUGACUUUAUCAGCUUUCUGCACUUUUUUCUUGUCUUUUUUAAUGCACUUUUCGUUUAACAAGUCAACAUCAAUUUCUUUUGUUGUAAAAGGGUCAUUGGAAGGUGGCUUUCUUUUCGGAGAAAGUGUUUAUAGCCUUUGGCCUCUGCAAUCGGAGAGAUUGAGGUCUGCAGCGUAGAUCCUUCGGGGUUAGAUACAUUUGUGCUAAGUUAUAGCCUUUCAUAGACAACUGUUGACUAUGAUCAGUCAUGUAGCUUACUCGCUUAUGCUAUUUUACCUACGCUUAGGAUGUUGAA
rnacentral:misc_RNA from 1 species